rnacentral:tRNA from 1 species
GUUCCUGUAGUUAAAUUUUUGUUAACGAGAGCUUUUCAGGCUUUAGAUCCCGGAGAGAGGCCGGGCGGGAAUU